UAAAAGGCCCCAUCGCCGAAAAUGGGCGAGUUUUCUCCCCUAUUCUCGGCCAACGGUGAGUCCAUGCCCUCCCACGGUUGGUUUUGAUGAUUUUCCUCAAAUCUUUCAAGUUUUAACAAGUUUUAACUUGGUUUUGAAGAUUUUUAAAGCUAAGAUCAAGUUUUGGAGCUUGGAGACCCAAGGAGCUAGAUUUCUCCCAUCUCCAAGUUAGGAUCGUCUCU
rnacentral:lncRNA from 1 species